UACGUAGGGUGCAAGCGUUGUUCGGAAUCAUUGGGCGUAAAGCGCGUGUAGGCGGUUAGGUAAGUCUUGUGUGAAAUCCCUGGGCUCAACCGAGGAAGUGCAUGGGAAACUCCCUAGCUGGAAGAUGGUAGAGGAAGGUGGAAUUCCUAGUGUAGAGGUGAAAUUCGUAGAUAUUAGGAGGAAUACCUGUGGCGAAGGCGGCCUUCUGGACCAUUCUUGACGCUGAGACGCGAAAGCGUGGGUAGCAAACAGG
rnacentral:rRNA from 1 species